rnacentral:rRNA from 1 species
CCAGCAGCUGCGGUAAUUCCAGCUCCAAUAGCGUAUAUUUAAGUUGUUGCAGUUAAAAAGCUCGUAGUUGGAUUUCGGGUGGGGUGGUGCGGUCCGCCUCUGGUGUGCACUGCUCCGCUCCACCUUCCUGCCGGGGACGGGCUCCUGGGCUUAACUGUUAGGGACUCGGAGUCGGCGAUGUUACUUUGAGUAAAUUAGAGUGUUCAAAGCAGGCCUACGCUCUGAAUACAUUAGCAUGGAAUAACACGAUAGGACUCUGGCCUAUCUGUUGGUCUGUGGGACCGGAGUAAUGAUUAAGAGGGACAGUCGGGGGCAUUCGUAUUCCAUUGUCAGAGGUGAAAUUCUUGGAUUUAUGGAAGACGAACAUCUGCGAAAGCAUUUGCCAAGGAUGUUUUCAUUGAUCAAGAACGAAAGU